UACGUAGGGCGCAAGCGUUGUCCGGAUUCACUGGGUGUAAAGGGUGCGCAGGCGGGAAAGUAAGUUAGAGGUGAAAUCUCACAGCUCAACUGUGAAAGGGCCUUUGAUACUGCUUUUCUUGAGUUAGGGAGAGGUUGAUGGAAUUCCAGGUGUAGCGGUGAAAUGCGUAGAUAUCUGGAAGAACACCGGUGGCGAAGGCGGUCAACUGGCCCUAAACUGACGCUCAGGCACGAAAGCGUGGGGAUCAAACAGG
rnacentral:rRNA from 1 species